rnacentral:rRNA from 1 species
UGGGGGAUAUUGCACAAUGGGCGAAAGCCUGAUGCAGCGACGCCGCGUGGGGGAUGAAGGCCUUCGGAUUGUAAACUUCUUUUGCUCUGAACAAGGCGCACCAUGGGGUGUGUUGAGUGUAGGGGUUGAUUAGCGCCGGCUAACUACGUGCCAGCAGCCGCGGUAAUACGUAGGGCGCGAGCGUUGUCCGGAAUUAUUGGGCGUAAAGGGCUUGUAGGUGGCUGGUUGCGUCUGUCGUGAAAGCUCAUGGCUUAACUGUGGGUUUGCGGUGGGUACGGGCUGGCUUGAGUGCAGUAGGGGAGGCUGGAAUUCCUGGUGUAGCGGUGGAAUGCGCAGAUAUCAGGAGGAAUACCGGUGGCGAAGGCGGGUCUCUGGGCUGUUACUGACACUGAGGAGCGAAAGCAUGGGGAGCGAACAGG